rnacentral:lncRNA from 1 species
CAGAUCCUGCCUAUGCCCAGCGGGGCAUCCGACAACCUCCAAGGGUUGGACGAAGGUGGAUCCUUACCUCCAGUCUCCUCUCCCUGCUUCCCUAAGAGCAUAUUACAAGCUCCGUAAGAAGUGUGUUUACAGGGCCCUCUGAAAACCAUGCACUCCCCUAACUUUCCAGAUUGAGGGACGGCAGGUGAUCAGGAUGUGAGGUGGGGCUUUACGAGGCCUCUCAAGU